ACAAAAUUCGGACCGUCGCUCUACCGAGCAAUAUUACGCGCUCGGAGGAAGAUCUUUCCUUUGUCGU
rnacentral:pre_miRNA from 1 species